CAGUCGCCGCGGGAAUACGAAGGGUGCAAGCGUUAAUCGGAAUUACUGGGCGUAAAGCGUGCGCAGGCGGUUUGUUAAGUCUGCUGUGAAAUCCCCGGGCUCAACCUGGGAAUGGCAGUGGAUACUGGCAAGCUAGAGUGUGUCAGAGGAUGGUGGAAUUCCCGGUGUAGCGGUGAAAUGCGUAGAGAUCGGGAGGAACAUCAGUGGCGAAGGCGGCCAUCUGGGACAACACUGACGCUGAGGCACGAAAGCGUGGGGAGCAAACAGGAUUAGAUACCCCCGUAGUCCCUGUCUCUUAUAC
rnacentral:rRNA from 1 species